rnacentral:rRNA from 1 species
UGGCGGCAGGCUUAACACAUGCAAGUCGAGCGGAGUGAUGGUGCUUGCACUAUCACUUAGCGGCGGACGGGUGAGUAAUGCUUAGGAAUCUGCCUAUUAGUGGGGGACAACAUUUCGAAAGGAAUGCUAAUACCGCAUACGUCCUACGGGAGAAAGCAGGGGAUCUUCGGACCUUGCGCUAAUAGAUGAGCCUAAGUCGGAUUAGCUAGUUGGUGGGGUAAAGGCCUACCAAGGCGACGAUCUGUAGCGGGUCUGAGAGGAUGAUCCGCCACACUGGGACUGAGACACGGCCCAGACUCCUACGGGAGGCAGCAGUGGGGAAUAUUGGACAAUGGGCGCAAGCCUGAUCCAGCCAUGCCGCGUGUGUGAAGAAGGCCUUAUGGUUGUAAAGCACUUUAAGCGAGGAGGAGGCUACUGAAGUUAAUACCUUCAGAUAGUGGACGUUACUCGCAGAAUAAGCACCGGCUAACUCUGUGCCAGCAGCCGCGGUAAUACAGAGGGUGCAAGCGUUAAUCGGAUUUACUGGGCGUAAAGCGCGCGUAGGCGGCUAAUUAAGUCAAAUGUGAAAUCCCCGAGCUUAACUUGGGAAUUGCAUUCGAUACUGGUUAGCUAGAGUGUGGGAGAGGAUGGUAGAAUUCCAGGUGUAGCGGUGAAAUGCGUAGAGAUCUGGAGGAAUACCGAUGGCGAAGGCAGCCAUCUGGCCUAACACUGACGCUGAGGUGCGAAAGCAUGGGGAGCAAACAGGAUUAGAUACCCUGGUAGUCCAUGCCGUAAACGAUGUCUACUAGCCGUUGGGGCCUUUGAGGCUUUAGUGGCGCAGCUAACGCGAUAAGUAGACCGCCUGGGGAGUACGGUCGCAAGACUAAAACUCAAAUGAAUUGACGGGGGCCCGCACAAGCGGUGGAGCAUGUGGUUUAAUUCGAUGCAACGCGAAGAACCUUACCUGGCCUUGACAUAGUA